UACGUAGGGUGCGAGCGUUAAUCGGAAUUACUGGGCGUAAAGCGUGCGCAGGCGGUUCGUUGUGUCGGCGGUGAAAGCCCCCGGGCUCAACCUGGGAAUGGCCGUUGAAACUGGCGAACUGGAGUGUGGCAGAGGGGGGUGGAAUUCCGCGUGUAGCAGUGAAAUGCGUAGAGAUGCGGAGGAACACCGAUGGCGAAGGCAGCCCCCCUGGGCUGACACUGACGCUCAGGCACGAAAGCGUGGGGAGCAAACAGG
rnacentral:rRNA from 1 species